rnacentral:rRNA from 1 species
UACGGGGGGGGCAAGCGUUGUUCGGAAUUACUGGGCGUAAAGGGCUCGUAGGCGGCCAACUAAGUCAGACGUGAAAUCCCUCGGCUUAACCGGGGAACUGCGUCUGAUACUGGAUGGCUUGAGUUUGGGAGAGGGAUGCGGAAUUCCAGGUGUAGCGGUGAAAUGCGUAGAUAUCUGAAGGAACAUCAGUGGCGAAAGCGACUUCCUGGACCAAUACUGACGCUCAUGUGCGAAAGCGUGGGGAGCAAACAGG